rnacentral:lncRNA from 1 species
GUAACCUAUAAGUUGUGAAGGGGUAAAAAAUUAAACUUGUUUAGAUGUGGCUGUAAACAGGCUAGUUUGGCCAGGUUAUCAUAGAAGAUGACAAUUUCAGUGCAAUUUAGCAGAGAAAAAGAAGAAAAACUAAAAAUAUUUCAAAAUCACUGUUUUGGGUGUAUUUUUUU